CAGGUUUCUACCUGGACAUGAUGAAAUUCCAAGCAUGUUCUUAACUCCAUCCCAGGUUUCAAGGUGUAUUAGUAUAAAGAAUUCCUCUCCAUCUGAGGCAAUGAUAUUGGUCUGAGCACUGCUGGAGAGUUCGAGGUCCCAGACUCACCAUGGAUGCUGGCUUUGUCACAGGGAACUGUUUGAGGCCUGGCCCUCUGGGAGUAACAUGCUGCUGAUAAUAGUCUCUGCAAGGUGACCCUCUCAAGCUCAGAUAUCCUUCUGUCUUCUGGCCCCUGUCCCCCACCUCCACCAAGCCCCUAUGAGCAACCUACGGACAGGUUGCACUCAGCAGUACAGGAGAGCUCUCAGAGAGUUCAUGAGACUAUGUGGCCAGUCAUUUGGAAGCCAAGGCCACUGUCACCGACAUCCUAACACCAAGCUCACUUUUGCAAUAAUACAAAAGUGUACUGACCAGGCACACAGAUGCCGAUUACAAGACCGCUCUAGAGACACAGACAUCCCUGAAUCUACUCACUGUCCCCUGAACACACUGGCCACAGGGUACUGUUUGGAGAGAAGCCUCAUUGUUCGAACCGAAUGGAACAGCCCCGGCCUACCUAGCAAUGCAGAU